rnacentral:rRNA from 1 species
UACGGGGGGGGCAAGCGUUGUUCGGAAUUACUGGGCGUAAAGGGCUCGUAGGCGGCCAACUAAGUCAGACGUGAAAUCCCUCGGCUUAACCGGGGAACUGCGUCUGAUACUGGAUGGCUUGAGAUUGGGAGAGGGAUGCGGAAUUCCAGGUGUAGCGGUGAAAUGCGUAGAUAUCUGGAGGAACACCGGUGGCGAAGGCGGCUUUCUGGGCCUUACCUGACGCUGAGGAGCGAAAGCUGGGGGAGCAAACAGG